GUACGCUGGCGGCACGCCUAACACAUGCAAGUCGAACGAAGUAGCAAUACUUAGUGGCAGACGGGUGAGUAACAUGUAGGUAUCUACCCUUUGGCCUGGAAUAACACGAGGAAACUUGUGCUAAUACCGGAUAAGUCUUUACGGAGAAAGCUUUAUGCACCAUUGGAUGAGCCUGCACUUGAUUAGUUUGUUGGUGGGGUAAUGGCCUACCAAGACUGUGAUCAAUAGCUGAUUUGAGAGGAUGAUCAGCCACAUUGGGACUGAGACACGGCCCAAACUCCUACGGGAGGCAGCAGUGGGGAAUCUUGCACAAUGGAGGAAACUCUGAUGCAGCGAUGCCGCGUGAGUGAAGAAGGCCCUUGGGUUGUAAAGCUCUUUCGUCGGGGAAGAAAAUGACUGUACCCGAAUAAGAAG
rnacentral:rRNA from 1 species